AGAAAAGUUGUAAGAAAAAGGUGUAAAUAACAUAUUUUGGGUUGAAUGCCUUGUGAUGUAAAUGUGACUGAAAAAGAAUAUGAAUGUAAUAGUUUAAAUUUACUUGUGUUUGACUCAAAUGAAAUGAAAUAAUUUGUAUGUUGAAUGUUUAGUUAGUUUCGAUACUUUCACUUGUGAUUUAGUGGUUGUUUGCCCUCAUGCAAAUCUUGUAUAAUUGCAAUCGUUUGUAUUGAAUUGCUUGUAUUAUACAUGUUGUUGGAGUCUUGGGCGGAUGGGGGAGGUGCUGUCCGUUCGGCGUCUGUUCACGUGCC
rnacentral:lncRNA from 1 species